UCGAUAUUUUUACAUAAACAACGUGAACACUCAGGUGGAGUUCAAGUCUCAUCAGUGGUUCGGAGCUACAUUGCGUUCCCAUGGCAACAGCAUCCUGGCUUGUGCUCCCCGGUACUACUGGAGAACCGAACAUGACGAACCCUUCGCUGAUGUCACAGGAACCUGCUACCUCUCUGUGGACAAUCUGAAAACUUUUGUUGAGUACGCACCGUGCCGAACAGAAAGACAUGGACCGGUUGGACAGGGCUUUUGUCAAGGUGGAUUUAGUGCAGACUUCACCAAGGACGGGAGGGUUGUGCUCGGAGGACCAGGCAGUUUUUACUGGCAAGGCCAGCUGAUCUCAGCCACCACAGAGGAGAUUGUGAAGGCUUACUACCCUUCAUACUUUCUACUCUCUGUUGUCGGACAGAUUCAGACCAGACAGUCGCAGGGGAACUAUGACGACAGUUACCU